UACGUAGGUGGCAAGCGUUGUCCGGAUUUAUUGGGUUUAAAGGGUGCGUAGGCGGCCAAUUAAGUCAGUGCUGAAAUACUCUAGCUUAACUAGAGGGGUGGCAUUGAUACUGAUUGGCUUGAGUGAAGUCGAAGUAGGCGGAAUUGACGGUGUAGCGGAGUAAAUGCUUAGAUAUCGUCAAGAACACCGAUAGUGAAGACAGCUUACUAGACUUCAACUGACGCUGAGGCACGAAAGUGUGGGGAUCAAACAGG
rnacentral:rRNA from 1 species